rnacentral:rRNA from 2 species
CAUAGGUUAAUGAGGCGAACCGGGGGAACUGAAACAUCUAAGUACCCCGAGGAAAAGAAAUCAACCGAGAUUCCCCCAGUAGCGGCGAGCGAACGGGGAGCAGCCCAGAGCCUGAAUCAGUGUGUGUGUUAGUGGAAGCGUCUGGAAAGGCGCGCGAUACAGGGUGACAGCCCCGUACACAAAAAUGCACAUGCUGUGAGCUCGAUGAGUAGGGCGGGACACGUGGUAUCCUGUCUGAAUAUGGGGGGACCAUCCUCCAAGGCUAAAUACUCCUGACUGACCGAUAGUGAACCAGUACCGUGAGGGAAAGGCGAAAAGAACCCCGGCGAGGGGAGUGAAAAAGAACCUGAAACCGUGUACGUACAAGCAGUGGGAGCACGCUUAGGCGUGUGACUGCGUACCUUUUGUAUAAUGGGUCAGCGACUUAUAUUCUGUAGCAAGGUUAACCGAAUAGGGGAGCCGAAGGGAAACCGAGUCUUAACUGGGCGUUAAGUUGCAGGGUAUAGACCCGAAACCCGGUGAUCUAGCCAUGGGCAGGUUGAAGGUUGGGUAACACUAACUGGAGGACCGAACCGACUAAUGUUGAAAAAUUAGCGGAUGACUUGUGGCUGGGGGUGAAAGGCCAAUCAAACCGGGAGAUAGCUGGUUCUCCCCGAAAGCUAUUUAGGUAGCGCCUCGUGAAUUCAUCUCCGGGGGUAGAGCACUGUUUCGGCAAGGGGGUCAUCCCGACUUACCAACCCGAUGCAAACUGCGAAUACCGGAGAAUGUUAUCACGGGAGACACACGGCGGGUGCUAACGUCCGUCGUGAAGAGGGAAACAACCCAGACCGCCAGCUAAGGUCCCAAAGUCAUGGUUAAGUGGGAAACGAUGUGGGAAGGCCCAGACAGCCAGGAUGUUGGCUUAGAAGCAGCCAUCAUUUAAAGAAAGCGUAA